GUAGUUAGCCGGAGCUUCCUCCUUGGGUACCGUCAUUUCUUCGUCCCCAAGGACAGAGGUUUACAACCCGAAAGCCUUCUUCCCUCACGCGGCGUUGCUGGGUCAGGGUUUCCCCCAUUGCCCAAUAUUCCCCACUGCUGCCUCCCGUAGGAGUUUGGACCGUGUCUCAGUUCCAAUGUGGCCGAUCACCCUCUCAGGUCGGCUACCCAUCGCGGUCUUGGUGGGCCGUUACCUCACCAACUAACUAAUGGGACGCGAGCCCAUCUUUUGGUGGAUUACUCCUUUCCUCGUUGCACCAUGCGAUGCUACGUUCUUAUGCGGUAUUAGCGUCGAUUUCUCGACGUUAUCCCCCUCCAAAAGGCAGGUUGCUCACGCGUUACUCACCCGUCCGCCACUAUCGAUUAGCUAAGCAAGCUUAUCUAAUCAACCGUUCGACUUGCAUGUGUUAGGCACGCCGCCAGCGUUCGUCCUGAGCCAGGAUCAAACUCUGA
rnacentral:rRNA from 1 species